rnacentral:rRNA from 1 species
UACGAAGGGGGCUAGCGUUGCUCGGAAUUACUGGGCGUAAAGCGCACGUAGGCGGAUCUUUAAGUCAGGGGUGAAAUCCUGGAGCUCAACUCCAGAACUGCCUUUGAUACUGAGGAGCUUGAGUCCGGGAGAGGUGAGUGGAACUGCGAGUGUAGAGGUGAAAUUCGUAGAUAUUCGCAAGAACACCAGUGGCGAAGGCGGCUCACUGGCCCGGUACUGACGCUGAGGUGCGAAAGCGUGGGGAGCAAACAGG